GGUUGCCUUCCUACGGGGGGGCACAGGGGGAAUUUUGGACAAUGGGGGAAACCCUGAUCCAGCCAUCCCGCGUGUAUGAUGAAGGCCUUCGGGUUGUAAAGUACUUUUGGCAGAGAAGAAAAGGUAUCCCCUAAUACGGGAUACUGCUGACGGUAUCUGCAGAAUAAGCACCGGCUAACUACGUGCCAGCAGCCGCGGUAAUACGUAGGGGGCAAGCGUUAAUCGGAAUUACUUGGGGCGUAAAGCGUCGUGUAAGGGCGGUUCCGGAAAGAAAAGAUGUGAAAUCCCCAGGGGCUCAACCUUUGGAACUGCAUUUUUAACUGCCGAGCUAGAGUAUGUCAGAGGGGGGUAGAAUUCCACGUGUAGCAGUGAAAUGCGUAGAUAUGUGGAGGAAUACCGAUGGCGAAGGCAGCCCCCCUGGGAUAAUACUGACGCUCAGACACGAGGAAUGCGUGGGGAGCAAACAGGAUUAGAUACCCUGGUAGUCCACGCCCUAAACGAUGUCAACUAGCUGUUGGGGCCGUUAGGCCUUAGUAGCGCAGCUAACGCGUGAAGUUGACCGCCUGGGGAGUACGGUCGCAAGAUUAAAACUCAAGAAAAU
rnacentral:rRNA from 1 species